GCUGCCGUGACCGGCGGGCCUGCCUACAGAACAACUUGCCAGGCGCUACCACCGCUACCGCCGCAACCUAACCUCAGCUGACAGAGGGUAUUUUUCAUAUCGCCGAAGCUCACCCAUUCAUUCUGCUCGUAGCUCGGCCAAAUCAUUCCAGUGAGGACUACAGACUCCACAGGACCCAAGUCGCCGCCUGAUUAUCACCAUUUCUUCUGAAUUGAACAACAUGUACCUUGUAGCACAUUGGUACUUGGACAGUGAACUCAAGUGUUCGUACUUUCGUGAUGAGGAAUGGUCUACGGCUUAUUGUUACCAGGGAAAACUUUUUUUGCUCCGGAGUCGUGACUUGAACAAAUAAAAGUUGGCAUUUGUGUGGGGUGUUGGAGAUACGCUGAUUAUUGCCUCAAGAGCAGCAGGUGUUUCCAUAGUGAAGCGAGGAGUUUUGAAGCCUAGUGAACUGUAUAAGAACCGUGUAGAAUGUAUCUUAACUAUUCAACUAACUUUUAAUGUCAGUUUACGUUUCAAAUGUUUUUUAAUGAUAUACAUUUAGUAGAGAAGUGACAUUAUUAUAAAGAUGCCUUUGAAUGUAACAUUCUGAACUUUGGUGCAAAAUUACCUAGCCAGAAUUUGUUUCAAAUUAUAAUAACGGGCACAAAUUGACUCAUCUGUGUUUCUUAUCAGCUGCAACAUACUCUCUAGUAAGUUGAAUCCCUAUUUUGUUUCAAAAGAUUGUCAGAAAUGGUAAUUAUAAGAAAUCAACUUUCAAGCAUUCUAAUUUGAUAUGAUUUUACCCCACACUUGAUCGUUUCUUCAUAGUUACUGUUGUAUAAAGUACUGAUGUGAUAAAGCCUUUCCAGCUAUUAAUAUUCAGAAAUACGGCCAAAAUUUUACGGGAACCAGGUGUUUUACAUUUACAUUUUGUAUAAUUUGUAGGGGAUCUUUCCAAUCUGUUUUCAAACACAAGUUGCCUAUUUUUCCCAAGAUUAGUAGAAAGAAAGAAAAAGAAACUUACCUAAACUUAAGGCACGUCAUGGAGAAGUAUUUAUAUUAGAAGAAAUCAUACAACAGAUGUUUGCUACAUUUUCUAUAUAGUAUUUAUGAGCCAUGCAACCACAGCUCCGUCUUUAACUAUGACCUGAAGAUGAAGCUCACUAUACUUUAUCAUUAAAUUACUUCCUCUGUACAAUUUUAACCAUAUAUCCACCAAUAUAUUAUCGUAAAGUAUGUAAAGAAAAUCUGUUUUACUCAAGAUAUGUUGCUGUACACGCUUUCUUAAUAAAUCAACCACACAUAUCUGAGAUCCUUUUCGAUUUCCCAACUCAGCCCACUCAUGCACUACCCUCGCAGGCAAAUUAGUUCCAUGUCAUGUUACUACAGCUCCUUUGAAAGGAAACCUGAUGGAAGGCAUCGCUGGAUAUUCAAAUGUUGACUAGAAUGAAGUAUAAGAACAAAGAGAAAUCUUUAUUGCUGUCAAUGAUUCAAUCAAUAUUGGAAACUGCACUUCCAAUGAAAUAAAAUAAAAAUGGUAUACUUUGUAUAAUAAAGAAAAAUAGGUUUCUUUGCAACAAAUAAAAAUGAAAUAGAAUUGACACAGCACAAGGACAAAUAACUGGUAUCACAUUUAAAAGAUUCAAAGAUUAGUCUUAAACAAAAGAAAGAGGUAAAAUACCGUGGUUAAAUUAGACGGCUGAUUGCCAAGGCUGAUUUGGUAGGCAUAACGCAAAUUCUUUAGAUUGAAUAGGGCUACACAAACUGCAGUUCACGUAGCAAAUCAAAAAGUUUGCCAUUUUUGGAAAUAUCUUUUGCUAACUUCUUGGGUCCAAACAAAGUAGUGCCCAGAAAUAGCAAGGGCAUCCUUGUGAGUGUUGGCCACUUGAUGUGCAAUACAAAAUAUGCUCCAAAUAGCAUGAGCAGACUUUUGAUGGGAUCCUUGCAAGUGAAGAAUGGCUCUGUAUCCACAUAGCACUGGAUAGAGAGACUUCCUGCAACUUCAGUCCCACUAACAAGAAGUCUUGGUGGGUCCCUUGCUGAGGGUCUCAUUCCAUCUAGUGGGGGUACCUUCCUAAAAAAACAAAAACAAUAAAGUUAAGAACCAUAGACAAAUAUUAAUGUUUUAAAAAAUAAACUUACAAUCAUGUAUAAUCCAGAUGAAUACCAAACUGUUUACCUCAAAGUACUGGAGGACUUUUGCAGCAUUAUUAUUGGCCUGUGCUUUUUUGUGCCACAAAGCAACCAGGUGAAUGUUUUCUAGGAUUGAAAGCGUAUUUUCACCUGCAGAGUAACAAU